AGGAUUCCCCUAGUAACUGCGAGUGAAGCGGGAAAAGCUCAAAUUUAAAAUCUGGCGGUUCUUGUAGCCGUCCGAGUUGUAAUUUAGAGAAGUGUUAUCCGCGCUGGACCGUGUACAAGUCUCCUGGAAUGGAGCGUCAUAGAGGGUGAGAAUCCCGUCUUUGACACGGACUGCCAGGGCAUUGUGAUGCGCUCUCAAAGAGUCGAGUUGUUUGGGAAUGCAGCUCAAAAUGGGUGGUAAAUUCCAUCUAAAGCUAAAUAUUGAGGAGAGACCGAUAGCGAACAAGUACCGUGAGGGAAAGAUGAAAAGAACUUUGGAAAGAGAGUUAAACAGUACGUGAAAUUGCUGAAAGGGAAACGCUUGAAGUCAGUCGCGUUGUUCAGGACUCAGCCUUGCUUUGCUUGGUGUACUUCCUGUUCGACGGGUCAGCAUCAAUUUUGGUCGGUGGAUAAAGGCUUGGAGAAUGUGGCAUCUUCGGGUGUGUUAUAGCUCUGGGUCGCAUACAUCGGCUGGGAUUGAGGAACUCAGCACGCCGCAAGGCCGGGUACUUGUACCACGUACGUGCUUAGGAUGCUGGCAUAAUGGCUUUAAUCGACCCGUCUUGAAACACGGACCAAGGAGUCUAACAUGCCUGCGAGUGUUUGGGUGGAAAACCCGAGCGCGUAAUGAAAGUGAAAGUUGAGAUCCCUGUCGUGGGGAGCAUCGACGCCCGGAGCAGACCUUCUGUGACGCAUCCGCGGUAGAGCAUGUAUGUUGGGACCCGAAAGAUGGUGAACUAUGCCUGAAUAGGGUGAAGCCAGAGGAAACUCUGGUGGAGGCUCGUAGCGAUUUCUGACGUGCAAAUCGAU
rnacentral:rRNA from 1 species